GCCUACACAUGCAAGUCGAACGGUAGCACAGAGAGCUUGCUCUCGGGUGACGAGUGGCGGACGGGUGAGUAAUGUCUGGGAAACUGCCUGAUGGAGGGGGAUAACUACUGGAAACGGUAGCUAAUACCGCAUAACGUCNCAAGACCAAAGAGGGGGACCUUCGGGCCUCUUGCCAUCAGAUGUGCCCAGAUGGGAUUAGCUAGUAGGUGGGGUAACGGCUCACCUAGGCGACGAUCCCUAGCUGGUCUGAGAGGAUGACCAGCCACACUGGAACUGAGACACGGUCCAGACUCCUACGGGAGGCAGCAGUGGGGAAUAUUGCACAAUGGGCGCAAGCCUGAUGCAGCCAUGCCGCGUGUAUGAAGAAGGCCUUCGGGUUGUAAAGUACUUUCAGCGGGGAGGAAGGUGUUGUGGUUAAUAACCNCAGCAAUUGACGUUACCCGCAGAAGAAGCACCGGCUAACUCCGUGCCAGCAGCCGCGGUAAUACGGAGGGUGCAAGCGUUAAUCGGAAUUACUGGGCGUAAAGCGCACGCAGGCGGUCUGUCAAGUCGGAUGUGAAAUCCCCGGGCUCAACCUGGGAACUGCAUUCGAAACUGGCAGGCUAGAGUCUUGUAGAGGGGGGUAGAAUUCCAGGUGUAGC
rnacentral:rRNA from 1 species